AAAAAAAAAUUUUUUUUAAAAAAGGAGUUUCUUUAUUGGUAGAGGUUUAGUCUUUUGAAAUUUGGUAUCUUUUGACUAGCAAGGGAUGUGAUUGAAUUGGUAAAUCAGUGCUAAAAAGUAAAAUGUUUUAUCGCUCCCAAACCUAACCGAACAGACCCACCACUUAGCGCACCUCUGAGGCGUCUCUAACUUUGAUGACAAACACCUGUAGGAACACGUGGGCUCUGCAGCCCUCCCCAUGGGGGACAGGGGUCGGGAUGCACCAUUCUGGGAGACUCAGGUUCAGCUGAGGGGUUACCACCUGUAAACACCGGACAAAAAGUUUUAAACAGACAGAUAGAACCUUUCUCCAGGUAUAGUUCGUGUUCCCCUGACUUCUUAGUCUGAAAGGCAGUGUGUCCGGUUUAGCAUGAUUGAUGACAGCUCAAGAAAUCUCCCCCAUGGAAAUUGUAGAGAGUGGGCAGCCCCAAACUGUUUCCGUCUGCUUUUACUGCUCUCACCUGUGAGAGCUUCUCAGCUGUGUAAGUUGGACGUGACCGACAAGGGCCAAACCUGUUUCCGCAUCUAUGUUUAUAGGAACCCCCUUAUCUGCUAAGGAACCAGAGGAUAAAGAUGGAAAGACAAGAACUGCUGGGGCCAUUUUGCUGCUAGGAUGGAAAGAGCUCAAGGAGGAAGCCAAUGCGAAGAGACGUGUGCAGCUAAGUGGAUCCCAGUCUGAGGUCUGGAGAAGGAGGUCCCGAAGAGAGGAGGAGAUUCAUUGCUUGAGGUCGCACAGGGCUCGAGGCAGAGUUGGGAAGAAAACUCUGUACCCACCAUGUCACCCAGGUCCCUUUGCUGAUUAACCACUGGCCACGGCACUGAAGCUCCCACGUUCCCUCACUUCCCUCCAGGUUAUGCACGCGUGAGAGUUUCGAGGUUAUCCCAAGGCAGAGAGGCUGUGUUGCAGGAAGUCAAAUGUAUGUGGUGCAGGUCCUAGACACGGCAUUACUGAUUUCACCCACAAGAAGCCAAAGUCUGCAUGAAACCACCUGUGUCAGCAAAGAAUCAGCAAGGCCAAACUUCUGCACAUUGAGGACCAACUGGAAAAUGUCCAACAAAGACAAGCACCUUUCACUGUUCCUCCCACCUAAACUCCAGAAUAUUCAACAAACACUCUGAAAGCAAAUGGACCAAGACUAAUGAACUCCAAAUCUGAUCGCAACAAUUCAUUUAGUAUUGCACACGGCAAAGAGUAAAAGAGUUUCUAAUUAAAUAAAGAGUCAUGAGUUUUGCUCCAUAGCACAUCUAGUGCAAAGUUCAGGAGGGCAUAAAAACAUUACAUUUUUCUUUCUUUUUUUUUUAAAUUAAAAAAAAAUUUUUUUAAAUUUAUUUUUGAGAGAGAGCAAGAAAGUGCACAAG